CGCGCGGAGUUUUGCUGCUCUACUGAGUGUGGGGCGGAAGCUUGUUGCUGAGGGCGGAAGCUUGUUGCUGAGGGCGGAUGGCGUGUACUUUACUUUUCUGUUAUCCCCAGCGCCUAAGGGGCCGGUGACCUUCGAUGAUGUGGACGUGGGCUUCGGAAACGAAGAGUGGAAUCGCCUGGACUGCACCCAGAAGGCUCUUUACACGGACUGAUGCUAAAGAAUUAAGGGAAACACCAGCGCGCUGAGAAUCUCUCUACACCCAGCGUGGACCUCUCAAAAUUUCAAGAUCAGAGUUGCACGCGCCACCAACUGAGCCAGCCAGACGCCCCCAACCCUGGAAUCCCUUUCUUACCACAGAAAGACAUCCCUGAGUAAAUUGUGUUCCCUAUUUCAACUCAUCCUAUUCCUGUGUCAUCCGCCUGCGAGUGUAGCUCCACAAUGGUAAGGACUGGCCCAGCAUUCCUAACUCUGACUGAAUAAACUGGAGAGGGGGAGGCAGAGCGUCUGGCUCCCACAUCUCCUGGGGAGGGCUUUGUCCUGAGCAGUUGCCUGGUGACACCCAGGGGCACCACCACCGCUCACCACCUGUGGGAGCUGCUCUGUGCACAGCCACCAGGAGCAGGGUGUGCAGCGUGGGGGUGGGGUCCCUUGAAGUCACUCACUGAGGGUGGAGGGGGUGCCGCCCUCCCCCUGCACCUUUGCCUCUCCAGCGGCCUCUUUUGUCACUGUUGCCAUUGCCUCCCACUUCCAGCUCUUCCUGUCCCAUGUCCUUAUUCCCACACUGCAGAAUGCCACAUUGACGUGUUUCCUUUGAGUCCCUCUCCCCCCCCCCCCCCGCAAUGUUCCCCUGUCUUUUGGACAACCCUAGCUGAGGAAACACGGUGGGGCGAGAGGUGUGCUACCCCCAGCACUGGCCUGAGGCCCUGCUCCCCAUCCUUCGCCAGGCAGAAGUACCUCAAACGAGUGGAUGGAAGCAGACAUUUCUACUUCUACACACGCUUCUGGGGGUGUUCACACACAGGCAUCUCCCUGUGAGAAGGUGGGUCAGACACACAACUGUUUCUGAGGUUUGACACUGGAAAUGGAAUUACUGGAGAAACUCAUUUUCUAUGUCCUGUGCCUCUAAUGUAUUUUGUAAUCAGAAGGAGAAAUUAAAAAACUGAAAAAAUA